CACUGCCAAGGCAACCAGCAGCAUUUCAGACUCCAGAAGCGUCAUCAGUGUGGAGUGAGAAUGCGUGCUGCAGAGUUCCCAGUUGUCCUGCGAUGAACACGUAAUACGGGCAAGAAAUAUACCUUUGUUGUACUCCUCUACUGCGAUCUUGGAGGGAAAAACAUCUCAACCAGUGGACAAAGUGGAGAAGCCUCUUGACCAUGUGAAAGCAGCAGCAUCACCAAUAUGUGACUAACCACAUCCAUUCAAGAAUGGGCUGACCCUCCCCCAAGCUUGAGCUCUUGAUGGUGGGCUGAAUUAUGAAGUUAGAAUGAAGGAAGAGUUGGUUGUCAUCUUCAUAGAGAUGAAAGUAAAACCUUUGAAAGUGGAUGGUAUAAUGAAAUGCAGAAGGAACAGUAAAGAAAGGCGAAGGAAGUACCAGGGACUUACGCCAAGGCGUAGAUGUAGAGAAACUUGGAAAGGAAAGGAAGAAGGUAGCUGUCUACAAGCCAGGAAGAGGCCCCUCACCAG